CGUCAAAUGAUCGAAUUAUCUCUCGCUCAAAACCAAUGAGUAUUGCCUGAACAAUUGUGAAGAACAAAAUUCAACUAGCCAAUUAUAAUCAAUCAUUCCUCCUGCUUCAUAUAAAUGUGUAUCUCAAAAACCAAAUGUCACUAAAUUAUAAAAAUUCAAAUUGUAGCCGUCAAUCCUCUGCCUUCAACUAUAGAAUAGAAUCAAUUAAUCAAAAUUAGAAUAGUACCAAUUAGUUUACAUGUUCCUCUUCUCUUCCUUCACCAGCUUCAAUUCGCUGUUUAUUCUUUUCAAUUGCCGCCGCCACCUCCUUAGGCAUAUACUUCUCAUCAUGCUUAGCCAAAACCUCCGUAGCAGAGAAGUAACACUUCCCGCUCCUAGCUUUCCCUGAAACGCUUCUCGCUCCCACCUCCUUCCUUAACUCCUCCGUGAAUGGUUUCACAAACCCUUCGACCACCACCGAAUGCCCUUCUCUAAACAAGUCGGGCAGCGAUCCCUGAUACCGGACCAAAAUAUCAGUGACCAAAUCUGUAAUUACAAACUCCAUUUCAGGCGAAGAAACGGGUUGAACCACGCUUCCUUCGAGAACUAA
rnacentral:misc_RNA from 1 species